GACGAACGCUGGCGGCGUGCUUAACACAUGCAAGUCGAACGGUAAGGCCCUUCGGGGUACACGAGUGGCGAACGGGUUAGUAACACGUGGGUGAUCUGCCCUGCACUUCGGGAUAAGCCUGGGAAACUGGGUCUAAUACCGGAUAGGACCACUGCGUGCAUGGGUGGUGGUGGAAAGCUUUUGCGGUGUGGGAUGGCCCCGCGGCCUAUCAGCUUGUUGGUGGGGUGACGGCCGACCAAGGCGACGACGGGUAGCCGGCCUGAGAGGGUGACCGGCCACACUGGGACUGAGAUACGGCCCAGACUCCUACGGGAGGCAGCAGUGGGGAAUAUUGCACAAUGGGCGCAAGCCUGAUGCAGCGACGCCGCGUGAGGGAUGACGGCCUUCGGGUUGUAAACCUCUUUCAGCACCGACGAAGCGCAAGUGACGGUAGGUGCAGAAGAAGGACCGGCCAACUACGUGCCAGCAGCCGCCGUAA
rnacentral:rRNA from 1 species